rnacentral:rRNA from 1 species
GACGGAGGGGGCUAGCGUUGUUCGGAAUUACUGGGCGUAAAGAGCGCGUAGGCGGUUUAGUAAGUUGGAAGUGAAAGCCCGAGGCUUAACCUCGGAAUUGCUUUCAAAACUGCUAGACUAGAGUAUGGUAGGGGAUGGUAGAAUUUCUAGUGUAGAGGUGGAAUUCUUAGAUAUUAGAAGGAAUACCGGUGGCGAAGGCGACCAUCUGGACCAUUACUGACGCUGAGGUGCGAAAGCGUGGGGAGCAAACAGG